rnacentral:tRNA from 1 species
UGGGGUAUGGCUCAGUGGUAGAGCUGGUGCUUAGCACACAAGGUCCUGGGUUCAAUCCCUAGUACCUCCA